rnacentral:lncRNA from 1 species
CGGCUCUUUGUCUGCUCGGGCAACUUGAACAAAAGGAGAAACUCGGAUGAACUCUCCAUCUCUCCGUCGCCUCUCCCGGGUUAACUCAUCUUCGGCAACUUUAUCCGAAGAGAUUUACUCAACUUUCUUCGAGCUCUCCCGCAGCUUAAAAGCAAAGAGCCUCGCCGUAGGUUUCUAAGGAAAUCUGGUUUCACAGUUUAGAGAAAGGAGAAGGUCACAACAUGAUUGUUGGGAAAAUGGGAUGGUUGCCAGAACAUCAGUCUGUGAUGGAUGCCAUAUUGCAUUACUCUUCAAAUGGUGGAAUACAGUUUGGGAUUCCUCAGACCUGCUUAACAUGGUUCAAGCUGGAACUUACAGCUGCUUAACGUUUUAGCUGUCUGGAUCCAUGGUUAUGGUUAAUGGUUUCCUGGGUGAAGAGUCCCAUACUGAAACUUGUGGAUAUUGUGGAACAUGCUGCUGAGACCCAUUUGGAUUAUACUGCCAUCUGACACCAAGGUUCUGCAGCUGAUGAAAGGAGCUUACCAGAUCUUUUUUAUGUGGUUGCUGAAGCAUUGCCCUGGGACAGCAGUAAUGAUGGAUGGAGGAACAGAACACAUUUCAGAGCUAUCUGAAACUGGCUUUCUUUGUUCACUCCAGCUGUCAGCAGAUUUCAAGGAUUGAGUCACAGAGAAAUGUGAGCAUUUACACUUCUGAAGUAGGUGUGAAUGGGACUGAAGGAAUUACAUGGAGGAUUCUGAACUCCCCUUCUUCCUGCUCCGGGAAAGACGGGUGAGUGUAUUAUGAAAUAGUUUAUAAUUAACUCAGUCCUUGCUUCAG